rnacentral:rRNA from 1 species
GUGAGGAAUAUUGGUCAAUGGACGGAAGUCUGAACCAGCCAUGCCGCGUGCAGGAAUAAGGUCCUAUGGAUUGUAAACUGCUUUUAUUCGGGAAUAAACCUCUUUACGUGUAGGGAGCUGAAGGUACCGAAGGAAUAAGCACCGGCUAACUCCGUGCCAGCAGCCGCGGUAAUACGGAGGGUGCAAGCGUUAUCCGGAAUCAUUGGGUUUAAAGGGUCCGCAGGCGGGCUAUCAAGUCAGAGGUGAAAUCCCACAGCUUAACUGUGGAACUGCCUUUGAAACUGAUGGUCUUGAAUUAAGUGGGCGUUGGCGGAAUAUGAAAUGUAGCGGUGAAAUGCAUAGAUAUGUCAUGGAACACCGAAAGCGAAGGCAGCUAACGAUACUUAUAUUGACGCUCAUGGACGAAAGCGUGGGUAGCGAACAGGAUUAGAAACCCCGGUAGUCC